GACGACGCUGGCGGCGCGCUUAACACAUGCAAGUCGUGCGGUACCGAUGGCAAGUCUUCUUGACGAGCCUUCGGUAUAGCGGCGGACGGGUGAGUAACACGUGAGUAGCUGUCCUAGGGAGGGGGAUAACGCCUGGAAACGGGUGCUAAAACCCCAUAAGCCUCGAAAGAGGUAAAAGUGCAUCACUGCAGUCCUAGGGUGUGCUCGCGGCCUAUCAGCUAGUUGGUGAGGUAAGGGCUCACCAAGGCCAAGACGGGUAGCCGGCCUGAGAGGGUGUACGGCCACACUGGAAUUGAGAUACGGUCCAGACUCCUACGGGAGGCAGCAGUGGGGAAUUUUGGGCAAUGGGCGAAAGCCUGACCCAGCGACGCCGCGUUGGGGAUGAAGUCCUUCGGGGCGUAAACCCAUGUUGUAGGGGAAGAAGAAAGUGACGGUACCCUACGAGAAAGCCCCGGCCAACUACGUG
rnacentral:rRNA from 1 species